GCUUUUGUGGUGGAAAAACCACGGCAGGCUUUCAAUCUGUAGGUGGGAGAAAUCUCCCCAAAAGUU